UACCUGCAGCUCUAGUGGUGGCCGCUAUUAUUGGGCCUAAAACGUCCGUAGCCGGUUUAUUAAAUGCCUAGGUAAAUUGUGUGGCUUAACCAUACGAAUUCUGGGUAGACUGAUGAACUUGAGACCGGGAGAAGCUAGAGGUACUCCUGGGGUAGAGGUGAAAUUCUGUAAUCCUAGGGGGACCACCAGUGGCGAAGGCGUCUAGCUAGAACGGGUUUGACGGUGAGGGACGAAGCCCUGGGGCGCAAACGGGAUUAGAUACCCCGGUAGUCCAGGGUGUAAACGCUGUUUGCUUGAUGUUGGUUGAGCUCCGAGCCCAAUCAGUGUCGGAGAGAAGUUGUUAAGCAAGCUGCCUGGGAAGUACGGUCGCAAGACUGAAACUUAAAGGAAUUGGCGGGGGAGCACCGCAACGGGAGGAGCGUGCGGUUUAAUUGGAUUCAACGCCGGAAAGCUCACCGGAGGAGACGGUUAUAUGAAGGCCAGGCUUAUGACCUUGCCAGAUUUUCCGAGAGGUGGUGCAUGGCCGUCGUCAGUUCGUACCGUAAGGCGUUCUGUUAAGUCAGACAACGAACAAGACCCUCAUCUUUAGUUGCAACUGGUAAGUCCGCUUAUCAGGCACACUAAAGAGACCGCUGGCGCUAAGUCAGAGGAAGGCGAGGGCAACGGUAGGUCAGUAUGCCCUGAAUCCUUCGGGCUACACGCGCGCUACAAAGGCCAGGACAAUAGGCUUCGACACCGAAAGGUGAAGGUAAUCCUGAAACCUGGUCAUAGUUCGGAUCGAGGGUUGAAACUCACCCUCGUGAAGGUGGAUUCCGUAGUAAUCGCGUGUCAACAUCACGCGGUGAAUAUGCCCCUGCUCCU
rnacentral:rRNA from 1 species